GCCUUCGUAGUGUAGUGGUCAGUACAGUCGACGCAUAACCGAGAGGUUCGUGGUUAGAUUCCCGGCGAAGGCA
rnacentral:tRNA from 1 species